rnacentral:tRNA from 1 species
GAGAUGCUAGUUAAACUAUAACCCCUCCUUGUCAAGGAAAAAUUACAGGUUAAACCCCUGUGCCUCUCU